rnacentral:rRNA from 1 species
AUUGAACGCUGGCGGCAUGCUUUACACAUGCAAGUCGAACGGUAACAGGCCUUCGGGUGCUGACGAGUGGCGAACGGGUGAGUAAUGCAUCGGAACGUGCCCAGAGGUGGGGGAUAACGCAGCGAAGGCUGUGCUAAUACCGCAUGUGAUCUGAGGAUGAAAGCGGGGGACCAAGCAGCAAUGUUUGGCCUCGCGCCUCUGGAGCGGCCGAUGUCAGAUUAGGUAGUUGGUGGGGUAAAGGCCUACCAAGCCGACGAUCUGUAGCUGGUCUGAGAGGACGACCAGCCACACUGGGACUGAGACACGGCCCAGACUCCUACGGGAGGCAGCAGUGGGGAAUUUUGGACAAUGGGCGCAAGCCUGAUCCAGCAAUGCCGCGUGCGGGAAGAAGGCCUUCGGGUUGUAAACCGCUUUUGUACGGAACGAAAAGGCUCUGGCUAAUACCUGGGGCUGAUGACGGUACCGUAAGAAUAAGCACCGGCUAACUACGUG